rnacentral:rRNA from 1 species
CAGAGGGAAGCAAGCCAGAGGGAAGCAGUUCGUCAAGGUCCAUUACCAAAUUCCGUUUUCAUAGAGGAGCACAUCAUGUCUCAGCCACCGGUUGUCCCUACUACUGCAACGAAGGAGGGCAACGUUCACAGGAAAAGAGAGAUUCUAGCACUGGCAAAGUUAAGAGCUGCAGCUGAGAAAAGAGAAGUUGCAGACCAAGCAAAGUUUGAAGCAGCUAUGGCAAAGUUGAAAGAAGAAGAGGACAAAAUUAAGCUUGCGGCUCAAAAGAGAAAGGAAGAGUUGGAAGCUAAGAAACAAGCAGCUGAGGAAAAGAAAAAAGCUAUACUAGAGGAGAAGAGACUUGCUGCAGAAGAAAAGAGAAGAGCUAUUGAGGAAAAAAAGAGAAAGGCCCAAGAGGAGAAACUUCAAAUGGCAGAGAAGAAAAGGCAAAUGAUGGAUGAGAGAAAAAGAAAUGCCGAGUUAGCAAAGGAAAAAAAGGCCGAAGAGAAGAGAAGGAUUGCACAG